rnacentral:tRNA from 1 species
GCCCAAGUAGCUCAGAGGUAGAGUACUUGCAUGGUAAGCAAGCGGUCGCAGGUUCGAUUCCUGUCUUGGGCA